UACGGGGGGGAGCAAGCGUUGUUCGGAUUUACUGGGCGUAAAGGGCGCGUAGGCGGCCAGCACAAGUCAGUUGUGAAAUCUCCGGGCUUAACUCGGAAAGGUCAACUGAUACUGUGCGGCUAGAGUGCAGAAGGGGCAACUGGAAUUCUCGGUGUAGCGGUGAAAUGCGCAGAUAUCAGGAGGAACACCGGUGGCGAAGGCGGGUCUCUGGGCCGUAACUGACGCUGAGGAGCGAAAGCGUGGGGAGCGAACAGG
rnacentral:rRNA from 1 species